rnacentral:rRNA from 1 species
CCUACGGGAGGCUGCAGUGAGGAAUAUUGGUCAAUGGACGAGAGUCUGAACCAGCCAAGUAGCGUGAAGGAUGACUGCCCUAUGGGUUGUAAACUUCUUUUAUAUGGGAAUAAAACGUUCCACGUGUGGGAUUUUGUAUGUACCAUAUGAAUAAGGAUAGGCUAACUCCGUGCCAGCAGCCGCGGUAAUACGGAGGAUCCGAGCGUUAUCCGGAUUUAUUGGGUUUAAAGGGAGCGUAGGUGGAUUGUUAAGUCAGUUGUGAAAGUUUGCGGCUUAACCGUAAAAUUGCAGUUGAAACUGGCAGUCUUGAGUACAGUAGAGGUGAGCGGAAUUCGUGGUGUAGCGGUGAAAUGCUUAGAUAUCACGAAGAACUCCGAUUGCGAAGGCAGUUCACUGGACUUCAACUGACACUGAGGCUCGAAAGUGUGGGUAUCAAACAGGAUUAGAUACCCCUGUAGUC